AAUCCAUAGGUUAAUGAGGCGAACCGGGGGAACUGAAACAUCUAAGUACCCCGAGGAAAAGAAAUCAACCGAGAUUCCCCCAGUAGCGGCGAGCGAACGGGGAGGAGCCCAGAGCCUGAAUCAGCAUGUGUGUUAGUGGAAGCGUCUGGAAAGGCGCGCGAUACAGGGUGACAGCCCCGUACACAAAAGCGCAUGUGCUGUGAGCUCGAUGAGUAGGGCGGGACACGUGGUAUCCUGUCUGAAUAUGGGGGGACCAUCCUCCAAGGCUAAAUACUCCUGACUGACCGAUAGUGAACCAGUACCGUGAGGGAAAGGCGAAAAGAACCCCGGCGAGGGGAGUGAAAAAGAACCUGAAACCGUGUACGUACAAGCAGUGGGAGCACCCUUUGGGUGUGACUGCGUACCUUUUGUAUAAUGGGUCAGCGACUUAUAUUCUGUAGCAAGGUUAACCGAAUAGGGGAGCCGGAGGGAAACCGAGUCUUAACCGGGCGUUAAGUUGCAGGGUAUAGACCCGAAACCCGGUGAUCUAGCCAUGGGCAGGUUGAAGGUUGGGUAACACUAACUGGAGGACCGAACCGACUAAUGUUGAAAAAUUAGCGGAUGACCUGUGGCUGGGGGUGAAAGGCCAAUCAAACCGGGAGAUAGCUGGUUCUCCCCGAAAGCUAUUUAGGUAGCGCCUCGUGAAUUCAUCUCCGGGGGUAGAGCACUGUUUCGGCUAGGGGGCCAUCCCGGCUUACCAACCCGAUGCAAACUGCGAAUACCGGAGAAUGUUAUCACGGGAGACACACGGCGGGUGCUAACGUCCGUCGUGAAGAGGGAAACAACCCAGACCGCCAGCUAA
rnacentral:rRNA from 1 species